rnacentral:rRNA from 1 species
CCUACGGGAGGCAGCAGUGGGGAAUAUUGGACAAUGGGCGAAAGCCUGAUCCAGCAAUGCCGCGUGAGUGAUGAAGGCCUUCGGGUCGUAAAGCUCUUUUACCAGGGAUGAUAAUGACAGUACCUGGAGAAUAAGCUCCGGCUAACUCCGUGCCAGCAGCCGCGGUAAUACGGAGGGAGCUAGCGUUGUUCGGAAUUACUGGGCGUAAAGAGUACGUAGGCGGUUAUUCAAGUCAGAGGUGAAAGCCCGGGGCUCAACCCCGGAACUGCCUUUGAAACUAGAUAACUAGAGUCUUGGAGAGGUUAGUGGAAUUCCGAGUGUAGAGGUGAAAUUCGUAGAUAUUCGGAAGAACACCAGUGGCGAAGGCGACUAACUGGACAAGUACUGACGCUGAGGUACGAAAGCGUGGGGAGCAAACAGGAUUAGAUACCCUGGUAGUCCACGCCGUAAACGAUGAUAACUAGUUGUUCGGUCACUUGGUGACUGAGUGACGCAGCUAACGCAUUAAGUUAUCCGCCUGGGGAGUACGGUCGCAAGNUUAAAACUCAAAGGAAUUGACGGCNGAGAGNGCGAGACGACGACGAGGAGAG